CAGCCGCCGCGGGAAUACGUAGGUGGCAAGCGUUGUCCGGAAUUAUUGGGCGUAAAGGGCUCGCAGGCGGUUUCUUAAGUCUGAUGUGAAAGCCCCCGGCUCAACCGGGGAGGGUCAUUGGAAACUGGGAAACUUGAGUGCAGAAGAGGAGAGUGGAAUUCCACGUGUAGCGGUGAAAUGCGUAGAGAUGUGGAGGAACACCAGUGGCGAAGGCGACUCUCUGGUCUGUAACUGACGCUGAGGAGCGAAAGCGUGGGGAGCGAACAGGAUUAGAUACCCGGGUAGUCCCUGUCUCUUAUAA
rnacentral:rRNA from 1 species